GACGAACGCUGGCGGCGUGCUUAACACAUGCAAGUCGAACGAUGACGACCGAGCUUGCUCGGUCUGAUUAGUGGCGAACGGGUGAGUAACACGUGAGCAACCUGCCCUUCACUCUGGGAUAACCUCGGGAAAUCGGGGCUAAUACCGGAUAUGAGCUCCUGUCGCAUGGCGGGUGUUGGAAAGUUUUUCGGUGAAGGAUGGGCUCGCGGCCUAUCAGUUUGUUGGUGAGGUAGUGGCUCACCAAGGCGAUGACGGGUAGCCGGCCUGAGAGGGCGACCGGCCACACUGGGACUGAGACACGGCCCAGACUCCUACGGGAGGCAGCAGUGGGGAAUAUUGCACAAUGGGCGAAAGCCUGAUGCAGCGACGCCGCGUGAGGGAUGACGGCCUUCGGGUUGUAAACCUCUUUCAGCAGGGAAGAAGUGAAAGUGACGGUACCUGCAGAAGAAGCGCCGGCUAACUACGUG
rnacentral:rRNA from 1 species